rnacentral:rRNA from 1 species
GUAAUGUCUGGGAAACUGCCUGAUGGAGGGGGAUAACUACUGGAAACGGUAGCUAAUACCGCAUAACGUCGCAAGACCAAAGAGGGGGACCUUCGGGCCUCUUGCCAUCGGAUGUGCCCAGAUGGGAUUAGCUAGUAGGUGGGGUAAAGGCUCACCUAGGCGACGAUCCCUAGCUGGUCUGAGAGGAUGACCAGCCACACUGGAACUGAGACACGGUCCAGACUCCUACGGGAGGCAGCAGUGGGGAAUAUUGCACAAUGGGCGCAAGCCUGAUGCAGCCAUGCCGCGUGUAUGAAGAAGGCCUUCGGGUUGUAAAGUACUUUCAGCGGGGAGGAA